rnacentral:rRNA from 1 species
UACGUAGGGUGCAAGCGUUGUCCGGAAUUAUUGGGCGUAAAGAGCUCGUAGGCGGUUUGUCGCGUCUGCUGUGAAAACCCGAGGCUCAACCUCGGGCCUGCAGUGGGUACGGGCAGACUAGAGUGCGGUAGGGGAGAUUGGAAUUCCUGGUGUAGCGGUGGAAUGCGCAGAUAUCAGGAGGAACACCAAUGGCGAAGGCGGAUCUCUGGGCCGUAACUGACGCUGAGGAGCGAAAGCGUGGGGAGCGAACAGG